UCGUGCUAGGCGGGGCAGUGGCGGAGCCUUGAACCCGCAAUCCGCCGUAGCGGGGCUGAAUCCCUCCCCGAGGUCGAAGCUCGUGGCCUCUGUCCCUGGCAGGGGGUGUUGAGAGCCGGGUCCCACGCGGCGGAUGCCUGUGAACCCCGUCAGGUCCGGAAGGAAGCAGCGGUAAGCAGUGAUGUUCCGGGCGCCGUGGGAGUGCCUAGCUUGAGCCUGCUCCAGGCGUCACGUCCCGAGUGGAGAUCGAAGGAAGGUGCGCGA
rnacentral:SRP_RNA from 1 species